rnacentral:lncRNA from 1 species
CAAAGAAAAUAAAAUGAAAACAAAAACAAUCCAAUAAAAAUGGGAAAGGAAAUGUAUCCAGGAAAUUGAUCUCCACCCUUCUGAAGCUGCAUUAAAGGUCCUCCACCACAUCACAAAAAGCUUCCUCAGAAAGUUGUUCAUUCAUCUUUGCACGUGCCUCUUUGUCCCACUCCUUUUGUUUCUUUUUCCCCUUAUGUUCUCUUUUCGAAAUUGGAUUUUUCUUCUCUUUUUUUCUGUUCCCUUAUGCUCUCUUCCCGAAGUUCAAUUCUCUUCCCC